GGCUCAGGACGAACGCUGGCGGCGUGCCUAAUACAUGCAAGUCGAGCGAAUCGAYGGGAGCUUGCUCCCUGAGAUUAGCGGCGGACGGGUGAGUAACACGUGGGCAACCUGCCUAUAAGACUGGGAUAACUUCGGGAAACCGGAGCUAAUACCGGAUACGUUCUUUUCUCGCAUGAGAGAAGAUGGAAAGACGGUUUACGCUGUCACUUAUAGAUGGGCCCGCGGCGCAUUAGCUAGUUGGUGAGGUAAUGGCUCACCAAGGCGACGAUGCGUAGCCGACCUGAGAGGGUGAUCGGCCACACUGGGACUGAGACACGGCCCAGACUCCUACGGGAGGCAGCAGUAGGGAAUCUUCCGCAAUGGACGAAAGUCUGACGGAGCAACGCCGCGUGAACGAAGAAGGCCUUCGGGUCGUAAAGUUCUGUUGUUAGGGAAGAACAAGUACCAGAGUAACUGCUGGUACCUGAC
rnacentral:rRNA from 1 species